rnacentral:rRNA from 2 species
AUAAUGGGUCAGCGACUUAUAUUCUGUAGCAAGGUUAACCGAAUAGGGGAGCCGAAGGGAAACCGAGUCUUAACUGGGCGUUAAGUUGCAGGGUAUAGACCCGAAACCCGGUGAUCUAGCCAUGGGCAGGUUGAAGGUUGGGUAACACUAACUGGAGGACCGAACCGACUAAUGUUGAAAAAUUAGCGGAUGACUUGUGGCUGGGGGUGAAAGGCCAAUCAAACCGGGAGAUAGCUGGUUCUCCCCGAAAGCUAUUUAGGUAGCGCCUCGUGAAUUCAUCUCCGGGGGUAGAGCACUGUUUCGGCAAGGGGGUCAUCCCGACUUACCAACCCGAUGCAAACUGCGAAUACCGGAGAAUGUUAUCACGGGAGACACACGGCGGGUGCUAACGUCCGUCGUGAAGAGGGAAACAACCCAGACCGCCAGCUAAGGUCCCAAAGUCAUGGUUAAGUGGGAAACGAUGUGGGAAGGCCCAGACAGCCAGGAUGUUGGCUUAGAAGCAGCCAUCAUUUAAAGAAAGCGUAAUAGCUCACUGGUCGAGUCGGCCUGCGCGGAAGAUGUAACGGGGCUAAACCAUGCACCGAAGCUGCGGCAGCGACGCUUAUGCGUUGUUGGGUAGGGGAGCGUUCUGUAAGCCUG